CACGUAGGGGCCAAGCGUUGUCCGGAUUUAUUGGGCGUAAAGCGUGCGUAGGCGGUUCGUUAAGUUCGUUGUGAAAGCCCCGGGCUCAACCUGGGAACUGCAAUGGAAACUGGCGGGCUUGAGUGUGGCAGAGGGGGGUGGAAUUCCGCGUGUAGCAGUGAAAUGCGCAGAUAUCAGGAAGAACACCUAUGGCGAAGGCAGCUCUCUGGGACGGUACUGACGCUGAGACGCGAAAGCGUGGGGAGCGAACAGG
rnacentral:rRNA from 1 species